ACAACUUUCAACGGCGGAUCUCUUGGCUCGUGCAUCGAUGAAGAACGCAGCCAGCCGCGAUAAGUAGUGUGAAUUGCAGAAUUCAGUGAAUCAUCGAAUCGCAAAUGGCGCUCUCGGGUCCUCUCGGGAGCACGUCUGUCUGAGUGUCGG
rnacentral:rRNA from 1 species